rnacentral:misc_RNA from 1 species
GAUGAAGAACGCAGCGAAAUGCGAUACGUAAUGUGAAUUGCAGAAUUCAGUGAAUCAUCGAGUCUUUGAAUGCACAUUGCGCCCCCUGGUAUUCCGGGGGGCAUGCCUGUCCGAGCGUCAUUGCUGCCCUCAAGCACGGCUUGUGUGUUGGGCCUCCGUCCUCCUCCCGGGGGACGGGCCCGAAAGGCAGCGGCGGCACCGCGUCCGGUCCUCGAGCGUAUGGGGCUUCGUCACCCGCUCUUGUAGGCCCGGCCGGCGCUUGCCGACACAUCAAUCUUUUUUCCAGGUUGACCUCGGAUCAGGUAGGGAUACCCGCUGAACUUAAGCAUAUCAAUAAGCGGAGGA